GUACUGUUAUACCACUGUCUAAUGAUAGCGUGUUGUUCUUAUGUUGUACUGUUAUACCACUGUCUAAUGAUAGCGUGUUGUUCUUAUGUUGUACUGUUAUACCACUGUCUAAUGAUAGCGUAGGUUUGUUCUUAUGUUGUACUGUUAUACCACUGUCUAAUGAUAGCGUAGGGUUUCUUAUGUUGUACUGUUAUACCACUGUCUAAUGAUAG
rnacentral:lncRNA from 1 species